GGCGCGCGCACAUCCCCGAGGGCGUCCAGGGGGCGGCGGCCGCGUGCCGGCUGCUGGGCUCCCAGGGCGCGCGGCUUCCACUCCGGCGCGGCUGGGGGCAGGUCCAGCCCGCGCGGGUCGGGGCGGGGAGAGCCGGGCGGAGCAGCCGGGCGGCAAAGUGGCUGCCCCACAGCUCUGAGUCCAGCGGGCCGGCGCGGGCAGGUGCACGGGAAGGGGCGCAGCGGCGACGCCCGAGGUUGUGUCCUGACCACAGCUGCCUUCCAGGAGGCUGCCCUGGAGCCAGUCAGGAAAUCAGGCUGCUGCUGGGCCAGGUGGGCAGCGCCAACUUACCCCUCCUCCUCCAGGAGCUCAGCCGCCGUCUACACUCAGCAUCCAGCACAGCCAUAUCUCUGCCUGAGGAAAGAACUUUAGAAGGAAGCCUGAGGGAACUAGAGUCUGGAGACCUGAGAUUCCAAGGAGGCCCCAGGAGAGCUCAGUCAAGCUGUGCUGCCUCCCAGGCAGGAUUCCAAUCACUACUAGCAAAAUUGCCCUCCAGACGUGAAGAAUUACUGGUACAGUGAGCCAGUCAGCAAGGUUCUAAAAAGAAGUUGGUAAGUCUGGAUGGCUGCCUCGGACAGGGAGGUGGUCUCCAGACCCCAGAGAACUGGCCAAGGACCAAGGAGGAGCAGGGCCAGCCUGGGUCCCCCGGACAGUGCAGAGGGGAAGGAGACCCCGGAGCAAGCGCCGAUCCUCGCGGCCAUGCUGAGAAAGGCUCAGGAGUUCUUCCAGACGUGCGAUGCAGAGGGCAAGGGCUUCAUCGCCAGGAGGGACAUGCAGAGACUCCAUAAGGAGUUGCCACUCAGCCUGGAGGAUCUGGAGGAUGUGUUUGAUGCCCUGGAUGCUGAUGGCAAUGGCUUUCUGACCCCAGAGGAGUUCACAACGGGAUUUAGUCACUUCUUCUUCAGCCAGAAUGACCCAAGUUGGGAAGAAGCAGGUGAACAGGUGACCCCCCUCCGGGAUGAGAAGGUGUAUCAGUCCAGAGGGGAAGAGGAUCUGGGUGACAUGGACGGAGAUGAGGACACCCAGUUCCAGAUGCUGAUGGACAAACUUGGAGCCCAAAAGGUCUUGGAAGAUGAAAGUGACAUCAAGCAACUCUGGCUGCAGCUGAAGAAGGACGAACCUCAUUUACUCUCCAACUUCGAAGACUUCCUGAUCAAAAUCUUUUCCCAGCUCCAAGAAGCCCACGAGGAGAAGAAUGAACUGGAAUGCGCCCUGAAAAAGAAAAUUGCUGCUUAUGACGAAGAAAUCCAGCAUCUCUACGAGGAGAUGGAACAACAAAUCAAAAGCGAGAAGGAGCAGUUUCUCCUGAAAGACACGGAGAGAUUCCAGGCCUGCAGUCAGGAGCUAGAACAGAAACUAUUGUCCAAGGAGCAGGAACUGGAGCAGCUCGUUCAGAAGCAGAAAAGGCUGGAAGGCCAGUGCACAGCCCUGCACAAUGACAAGCAUGAAACCAAGGCUGAGAAUACCAAGCUGAGACUCACCAACCAGGAGCUGGCCCAGGAGCUGGAGAGGACCUCCCGGGAGCUGCAGGAUGCUCAGCAGCAGCUAGAAAGCCUCCAGCAAGAGGCCUGCAAGCUCCAUCAGGAGAAGGAGAUGGAGGUGUACCGCGUGACGGAGAGCCUGCAGCGGGAGAAGUCAGGGCUCCUGAAGCAGCUGGAUUUCCUGAGAGAAAGGAACAAGCACCUCCGGGAUGAACAGGACAUAAGUUUUCAGAAAGAUAAGGCAGCCAAGGCAAACACAGCUGCUUCCAAGGCAAGCUGGAAACAGAGAUCUGGUUCUGUGAUAGGCAAAUAUGUGGACGGCAGAGGGAUUCUUAGAAGCCAGUCAGAGGAAGAGGAAGAUGUGUUUGACCACGUGAGAAGGAGAAGCUCCUUGGGGCUCAGUGGAUAUCCCCUCACAGAAGAGGAGCCAGGAGCUGGGGAGCCAGGAGCUGGGGGUCCGCCACGCCGAAUGCUCCGCCGAAUCAUCUCCAUCGAAGAAGACCCCCUGCCCCAGCUCCUGGAUGGGGGCUUUGAGCGGCCACUGAGCAAGUGCCCAGAAGAGAAGGAGGGCUCCAACCAGGGGGUUCAAGCACAAAUGCAGCAGGCCCCCGCCCUGGAACUCACCCCCACCAGUCCCCGACGGCAGCCUGUUGGGAAAGAAUCUCUGACUAAGGAGGAGAGCCGUGCCUCCACCCCAGACCGGCUCUUCAAGAUCGUGCUCGUGGGCAAUUCCAGCGUGGGCAAGACUUCAUUCCUGAGGAGGUUCUAUGAGGGCCGGUUCUCCCCGGGCAUUGCAGCCACUGUCGGGAUCGAUUACCGUGUGAAGACGGUGACCGUGGACGGCUCUCGGGUGGCGCUGCAGCUGUGGGACACGGCCGGGCAGGAGAGGUAUCGGUGCAUCACCCGGCAGUUUUUCAGGAAGGCCGAUGGUGUCAUCGUCAUGUAUGACCUCACAGCCAAGGAGUCCUUCCUGGCGGUCCGGCAGUGGCUGAGCAGCGUGGAGGUGAGCUCGGGACCUUGCCGAGAACACUCGGGCCACUCUUUUCUUGCCUCCCUUUUCUUUUUUGACCUUCUCCAGCCCACCCCCCCUUCACUUUCAAGACCCGAUCCAGAUUCAGAACUCAUCUUCUCCAGGCACAAACCCACUCGGACAUCCCGUUAUCCGGUCAUCCAGAUGCCUGGGACCAGGAAGCUGUGGGAGACUGCAUACCUGUUCUUCUGCUGGGCAAUAAAAUUGACAUCGAGAAGGAGCGGGAAGUCCCCCGGGGCCUCGGAGAACAGCUUGCCAAGGAGAACAAUCUGAUCUUCUAUGAAUGCAGCGCCUUUUCUGGUCACAAUGCCAAGGAGUCCUUGCUCCAUCUAGCCAGGAUCCUCAAGGAGCAAGAAGACACAGCGAGGGAGGACACCAUUCGCGUCAGCCGCCCUGCCAAGAAGAAGUCCUGCUGUAGCUGAUGGGAGGCCUCCCAGGACCGCUCCCACUGAGCCCGAGGUCACAGGGCCAUGGAUGCUGCCCACCAAGCCUGCCCGGACCCUUGUCCUUGUCAGUGACCUGCUUCCCCGCCAAGGAGGGGAAGCGCAGACAGUGCAGAAAGCUGCUCUUGGAGCAUCUGGGAACCUCUCUCUCUAGACCCCAGAUGUCCGUUCCUUUUACCCCCAGCUUGGUUUCCUGCUGGGGGAAGAAAACAGAUGGACUUUUCCAGAAAAGCCGCCGCCUGCCUUCUCCGCCCCCUGCCCUGAGGAGCCGCAGCACCACAGUUGCCAUGGCAACCAGGCAGGACCAACUGGCUGCUCCCUGCAGGCCGAAGGAUUAUCCUACUCGGCGACACCAGGGUGGUUGGUCCUGCUUUGGCUCCCGUCCUCUGGAGGCCAGCGGGCUGCCUUUGGUAUAAACACUUCAUGGGCCUCGAGAGACCCAUGUGUGGUUGGCGCGUUCCAUGUCACCCUCCCUCCGCUCCCCAGGGUCCUUCUCCUUCCCUCAUUCCCAAGCUUCGGAGUCCAGCCCCUCUGAGCAGCCACUCUGCACUGUGUUUGCUCUUCAGCUCUCUAGAACUAUGUCUUACCAAGAACCCACAGCUUUCCCGUCCCACCCCCCGCCCCCCAGCCCCAAUCCUCACUCCAAGGUGGAGCACCGAUGAUAAAUUUAUGCCCUGGGUGAGGAGAACAGGCUCUCUUCCUACUUAACUUUGACUAAAAGAUGCAAAGAAAACUAGAGGGGAUAAAACCAUCUGCUGCUAAACAGACCAUUUCUGGAGGGUGUAAAUAAGGUAUAUAUAGCUAUAUAAAAGCCAUUUUCUAAAUGUUUCUCAAAAUAGCUCUUGGGAAAAUUGUACAUGAUGAUUAACAGGGUAGAUUGACAUGCAGGCAGCAAGGCCCAACACUAGGUCCAUGGUUAUUGACUGCAUUUUAUUUUAUUUUACUUUAUUUUAGAAGAUUGUAUUUAAAAGAAAAAAUCUGUGGCUGUGACGUUGACAUUGUGCCGGUGUUUGAGAAGUGAGCAGAGAGUAGCCACUGGCUUUCACACCCUUUGGCUGCGGCAGCACAGGGCACUUUGAUUAAAGGACUGAUCUGGGGACCUGUCUUGUUUCCUUCAGCUGGGCGGUGGUGAGUUCCCAGUCCCUGGCAGUGUUCCCGCAUCACUGGCUGGCAGUCAGGGGUGCUGGGGAGGGCAUUCCUGCCCUGGGUGGGAGGUUGGAUGAAAAGGUCACAAAGAUAAAAUUCUAGGACUGCAGACCCAGAUCCCUGCAGGAAAGUGGGUACUCCAUGCCCAAAAGGGGCAGGAGGGAGGGAGAGGAGCAGGAAGGGCACGCAGGCCUCCAAGAGGCUGUUCCAGGGGACCCCUCACAACCAACCAGGCAGGGACGCCACUGGUGGAGUUCCCAAGAGCUUGGAACCCUGCAGCCUCCUCUCUGCCCCCCAAAAGGGCCUCCAGCCAAGUGCCCACCUCCUUUCUGCAGACUUCCCUUUCUCAUCCAGAGCCUUUAGAGACCAGAGAGUUCAUGGAAGGUUCUGAUCGAGACCCGGGACUGAGUCCCAGGAGGCACACCACAAUUUGGGGAAAGCCAGCUCCCUUCCAUGUCAGUAAAAUGAGGGAGGUGGGCUGUCUGAUCACUGCGGCUCUUCCUGCCCGGGUGCUUGUGAUGAUCUUGGUCAUUUCCAUCCUAGGUGUGGCCCUGGACCCCCGUACAAGGUUGAAGGGAACUCUCAGGAAACUCCUUUCCCUAAGGGUGGGUCAGGGUGAUGGUCUCCUCAGCGUGAUGGAGGCUGGGGGGUGGAGGGAGAGUGUGAGUCACCCCAAGGUGGCCCUCCAACAUCUGUGUGUGCCUGUAUGUGUUGUAGUGUGUGUGGAGGGCUGGGGAGAAGUUAGAGACAGUAGACCAGCUCCCCACAUUCUGGCAAAACCAGAGACGGCAGGUGGGAUUUAUGGGGCAGGCAUAUACCUGGGGCUCCCUGAGCCCACAGAUGCCUUCCUCUCUGAUAGCUCAUCCCUGCCUUAGGGCCACAGCCAUUCAGAGAAAGUGCAGUCAGGGUUUAGAACAGGGUGGGAUGGUGCCCGGCCUGCCAGCAGUUGGGGUAAAUUCCCACAAGGCCUCAAAGGUCCAGGCAGAGAGAAGUGGGGAAGGGAAGGUCCCCAGGGCCCUGCUCCUCACUCCUCCAACUCCGCUUGAAGAAGGUGUGGAGGAUGGGGACUCCGGAAGGACUCUGAGAAGCCCCCUUGUGCCCAGGUCUCAGCCACCCUCCUUUCCUCCUUCCUUUUAAGCCACCUCAGUAAUCAAAGCCACUCCCAUGACUGUCAGCCUGGCCGAGAGCCUGGCAGAGGCUGUCAGAAAACCCUUCCAGCUCAGUCCUAUGUACAUCACUGUUUCGAUCGCAACAAGUCACUUAACCAGCUUCAUAUUCACAUGUAGAGUGGAGGCUUCAAUGUCUACAUCACAGGGACAUUUUAAGUUUUAAAUGAGAUAAUGUAUGUAACGCACUCAGCAUAGUGCCCAGCACAUAGUAGGUGAUAAUAAGUAGGGACUAUUACUGUUGUCAACAUCUAAUUGCUGCUCAGACCACUUGCCUUGAUUCAGUUUCAGAUUUAGAACCAGCCAACAUUUACUAAGCAUCUACCCAGAACUGGGCACUUUCUCAAAUAAUAGCUUGUUUGAGUGCCUGCUUGCCCAGCCCAUUUGCCCGGGUUCUGAGCUCUUAUCUGGCUUUGCCUCUCAGCCUCCGUGUCCUUUGUUCUCCUUUUGUUCUGUGGGUUUCUUGGUUUUUCUCUCCACCAAGACUUUUACUUGAAGGCCCUGGCUUUCCUUAUCAGAGCCCCCAUAUCCCACCAGUGUCUGCUGUGGGAUUUCAGUCCCUAGUCCCCCUACCCCUGGUGCUACAGGACUCAGCAGCUCUGACCUGGUGCCAGCUCCUGGGUGCUUUACCUAUGAAUGACCUCAUCACCAUCCCCAGCCCUGCACCUGCAAACUUAUUCUAACUCCUUGUGCUUCCUCUGGGGCCAGUGGCUGCCCUUGCCCCAGAGCUGCCAAAUCAGGAGCUCCAGCUCCAAACCAAUGCUGCCUUGUUCCUCAUCUAGCAUUUGUUUUCCUUCACAGUUUUUUAGGGAUCUUUUCUGUCCCCCUACAAUACUUUCUCCCAUCUCUCCCAUCCUGUACUCUUGCCUCAUUCUCAGUACUCCCACCCAAUCUUGGACUCCCUCCUCCGUAAUCCUCCCCUGGCCCACUCCAGGCCUUACCUAUCCACUCCAUCAAAUGUGGUUCGACCCUUUUUCUCUGUCACUAGCAGUCAGUGCUCCAAAAGAACUUAAACUCGUUUCAUCUAAAGUGUUAAUACAAAUGGCUCCAGGGCUACGUUUACACUUUAACAGAUAACUCUAUGGGAGGCAAAACUUUAACUCAUAGGAAUGAGUCUCUAGGGGUGGAAUAUUAUGCACUAUAAUGGGUCAUGGGGGUCAAAUAUUUCAGGACAGAGUUGCCUUCUCCUAUACUCCUCUCAGGAUCUCACAUUGCUUCAUGUAUUUUGGAGCUCUGUUUCUCAGUGCAUGUAUGUUUAGAAUUGUUAUAUCUUCUUAAUGGAUUGACCCUUUAUCAUUAUGUAGUGUUCUUCUUUGGCUUUUAUAAAAAAUUUAUGACAAACUUUAUUUUAUCUGAUAUAAGUAUAGCUACUCCAGCUCUUUUUUGGUCACUGCUUGGUAGAUCUUUUUCCAUCUUUUGCCUUCAGACUAUUGAACCAAAGUGAGUGUCUUCUCCCGGGGAGGAAUGAAAUAAGCUUCAGUGGCAGAGAGAUUCCAAAAGGAGCCGAGAGGUCACUCUGGUGGGCACUCUUACGCACAACAUAGACAACCCUUUUUAGGUUCUAAUGAAUUGGGGUAGCUGGU